UACGGAGGGAGCUAGCGUUGUUCGGAAUUACUGGGCGUAAAGCGCACGUAGGCGGCUUUGUAAGUUAGAGGUGAAAGCCCGGGGCUCAACUCCGGAACUGCCUUUAAGACUGCAUUCGCUUGAAUCCAGGAGAGGUGAGUGGAAUUCCGAGUGUAGAGGUGAAAUUCGUAGAUAUUCGGAAGAACACCAGUGGCGAAGGCGGCUCACUGGACUGGUAUUGACGCUGAGGUGCGAAAGCGUGGGGAGCAAACAGG
rnacentral:rRNA from 1 species